rnacentral:rRNA from 1 species
GACGGGACCCGCACAAGCGGUGGAUGAUGUGGAUUAAUUCGAUGCAACGCGAAAAACCUUUACCUACCCUUGACAUGUCCGGAAUCCUGCAGAGAUGCGGGAGUGCCCGAAAGGGAAUCGGAACACAGGUGCUGCAUGGCUGUCGUCAGCUCGUGUCGUGAGAUGUUGGGUUAAGUCCCGCAACGAGCGCAACCCUUAUCAUUAGUUGCUACGCAAGGGCACUCUAAUGAGACUGCCGGUGACAAACCGGAGGAAGGUGGGGAUGACGUCAAGUCCUCAUGGCCCUUAUGGGUAGGGCUUCACACGUCAUACAAUGGUCGGUACAGAGGGUUGCCAAGCCGCGAGGCGGAGCCAAUCCCACAAAGCCGAUCGUAGUCCGGAUUGUUCUCUGCAACUCGAGAGCAUGAAGUCGGAAUCGCUAGUAAUCGCAGGUCAGCAUACUGCGGUGAAUACGUUCCCGGGUCUU